rnacentral:rRNA from 1 species
GACGAACGCUGGCGGCGUGCUUAACACAUGCAAGUCGAACGAUGAAGCCGGAGCUUGCUCUGGUGAAUUAGUGGCGAACGGGUGAGUAACACGCGAGUAACCUGCCCUUGACUCUGGGAUAACUGCUAGAAAUGGUAGCUAAUACCGGAUACGACCCUCGGAGGCAUCUUCAGGGGGUGGAAAGAAUUUCGGUCAAGGAUGGACUCGCGGCCUAUCAGCUAGUUGGUGAGGUAACGGCUCACCAAGGCGACGACGGGUAGCCGGCCUGAGAGGGUGACCGGCCACACUGGGACUGAGACACUGCCCAGACUCCUACGGGAGGCAGCAGUGGGGAAUAUUGCACAAUGGGCGCAAGCCUGAUGCAGCAACGCCGCGUGAGGGAUGACGGCCUUCGGGUUGUAAACCUCUUUUAGUAGGGAAGAAGCGAAAGUGACGGUACCUGCAGAAAAAGCACCGGCUAACUACGUGCCAGCAGCCGCCGUAA